CGUGGUGGAAAAAGCAACCUUUCCCUGACCAUGGCCAUCUCUGGUAGGGGUUACCACUGAACAAGCUGGACUGGUAUGGACUGAACACCUCCUUAAUCUGACCGGUGUAACCAUUGGUCCUCGUGUCAUUGCAACAUUAAAUAAAGUACCUAUGGUUAAACGAACAUUCCUUAAUAUCCGACCUGUAGAAGCCAUGGUGAAGAAGCUAUGAAUUAAUAUCCGACCAGUAGAAGCUGAACCAAUGCUCGCUCACAGCUUCGCAGCUCUCUCGGUGUCGCGGUGUUAUGACGUCAUUAUUUUGCUCCCGGGAGCUAAUGGGAUGGUAGGUCCCGCCCACUGUGACACUGCAGAUGCACACUGCAGAUGUACACACACGUCUGGUCAAUGGAUUAUACAGGGGCGACGUAUGUGAUGAGAUGAGCUCAAGGCCCCCUGGGGAUUCCUCAGGAGCCCUAGGGGUUCACCAGGACCCCUUCAGCAGGACCCCUGGGGGUUCACCAGGAGAAAACUAGUGGAAUGGCCCCAUGAUAUUCUUCUUUCCAGAAGUGCUCAUGGGAACAGGCCACUGGUCCAUGGUGGAUUACUGAACCCUUUGUCCAGAGAUCCUACCGACUGCGUUGUCAUCUGUCACUCAACCCUCAAACCCUCAAAUUACUUUAAACAAUCAAAAACACUGUUCAUGUAAAAACACAAUAUUUCACAACACAGUGUGGUGUGUUGUAAAAUAUUGGCGUUGUGUAAAUAAAAGUGUAUAUAAAGCAAUACUAGUCUACAAGUCUAAUUGUAAAUGACGCAAUGUCCCAUCUGUAGCCUGUGAGGGUUCAGGGCAGUGGUGUCGCCGGGCUGUUAAAUAAAAAUCAACUUUCUUUUUUCUUUUUCUUUUCUUUGCUUGCUUUACACUAGAAAUAAACCUGGGGAUUCCUGGGGCAUCUCAUAAUAGCCUAGUUCUUCUAGAUAGUCCUUCUGGCAAGAGAAUAAACGAUUUAAAAGUCCCAUGACAUGAAAACCUCACUUUAUGAGGUUUUCUAACCUAAAUAUGAGUUCCCCUAGCCUGCCUAUGGUCCCCCAGUGGCUAAAACUUGCGUUUGGUGUAAAACGAGCACUAGCUGUUCUGCUCGCCUUUGAAAAAACGGAGGCUCAAGCGCGCUGAUUUGGAAUGUCUUUAUUUAUGUCGUCAUAAAGCAUCUAAGCUCCUCCCCUUACUCUGCCUGGCCCGCCCAGAGAAGUUGGCCCGCCAAUGAGACACGACCGUGCUAGCGCCACAUGUGUGUGUGUAAAUACACACACUGUAACGCAAGUGUUUCUUGUCGGUUCUUUGACGUCUCUUGUAUUUCCACAACGAGACAGUGGGGGUUAUCUGAGCCAUGGUUGAGAAGGAAUUGGGGGAAAGGAACUUUGGCUUUCACUCGCUGAAGUACAUGAACUGCGACAUGCCGCCGGUUGCCGCGAGGCACCAUCGCCCGGCAGCGGGCAGCCGGCAGCAGGCAGCGCCCGGUUCAGCCUACUUCAGAUUGAUGUGAAAGUGGAAGAACCAGAGACGUCACAGAACCCGACAAAGUCGUUUGUGAUUCAUAAUAUUGUCUGGAGGCGCACACAGCUUUUGGCCGUGAUAAUAUGUAUUAUGUGAUAUAGAUAUCUAUGUAUUAUAUGAUAUUAUUUAGAUAUAGAGCUCCAGGACUGUAACGCAAGUGUUGUACACUUCCUUGUUAUUUGGAUAACUGUUCUGCUUUUGGUGUUAUGGCGCAUAACACGUCGGACUCUCGUCUCUGGUAUUUCUACAAUGAGACUCGUAGUGGGGGUUAUCUCAGCCAAGGUUGAGAAUGGAUUUGACUCCCUCAAGAACAUGAACCACGACAUGGAGGAGAAAGGGAUUGUUGGCGGCGAAUGUCUCCUGCUUGAGCCCCGCUGAGGGAACACCGCCGGAGUCGGAGGUGCCUAAGCGCUGCCCGGCAACAAUCCCUUUCUCCUCCUUGUCGCGGUUCAGUCUACUUCACAUUGAUGUGGACGUGGAAGAACCAGGAACGUCGGAGAACCCAACGCGGUCGUUUGAGAUUCAUAAUAUCGGCUCACACAGCUUUUGGCCGUGAUAAUAUAUAUUAUAUGAUAUAGAUAUCUAUGUAGGUUAUAUGAUAAUAUUUAGGCAUAGAGCUACAGGACUCCCGUGUGUUCUAGAAUAUUUACAGAACACGGCUAAAGUCUGUGUGCGCCUCGCCAUUGCAAUACAUCCACUGUAAACAGCGCAUGGUACCGUGGCUGCAAGCUGCUCAGGGCCACACCCCCACCCUCCUCCUUGACCCGCCUCGCUCCUCCUCAUUUGCAUUAUAGCUACAGACACCAAAACAGCGCAUUUAGGGGAAGCUCAAUGUGUGACUGGCUCGGAGUGGCUGUAACUCUGCACCACGGCUGAAUUUCGGGAACGUCUUUGAAUACUGUGUUAGUUGCCCACUAAUACCUAUAUUAAAGAAUACAUAAAAUAGCAUGUCAUGGGACCUUUAAAAACAUAACCAGACUGCAUUUUACCACCUCAAGUGAAUUAACCUAUCCUAUCUCCAGUCAUAUAUAUAUAUAUAUAUAUAUAUAUAUAUAUAUAUAUAUAUAUAUAUAUGCUUUUUGGCAAUAAAUCUUAUACCGUUGGAAAGCCUGUUUAGUUCCCUUUCAAAUGGGGCCCCAUUUGUAAGGAACAUGCAUUUGUGGAAUGAGCAGCAGCGCUGAGUAUGUGGGUUGCGCCCAUGAAAAAUUUGCCGUUGCCAAACAGGUAAUUUUGCCGUUGCUAUUGACACUUGAUUUGAGCUUCUGGUACCCCCAGGUGCUGCCAAUCAGGUGCCUGAUUGGCACCUGAUUGGGCAACUUCAGGCUGGUGUUACGCAAAAACAUAAGACACAAGUUGCGGCAUUAUUUGGAGUGUGCCCUGGUACCCUCUCCUAACUGAAGGC
rnacentral:lncRNA from 1 species